AGCCCAGGCUAGAGAAGCAGCCGCGCGUGGACGAGGCCUCCGGGAACCUGGCCGGCCUCGCGGGGCUCCAGCCCGGCGUCCUGGCGGGGCUCUCGAGAAGGCGCGCACCCUGCAGCAGCCAGGGACCCACCACGGCGCCAUGCUGGGCCUCUCAAGGGGGCGGGAGGGCGCCAGGCCUGCAGGGGGCACUGCAGCCUGGACGGAGAUGGGGUGGCCUGGACCCGGUGAGCAGGCGGGAGCACGCGGGGCCUACAGGGAGCGCUGCAGCCUGGACAGAGACGGGGCAGAUGGGGACCCACGCUGAAUGGGCUUAGGCUGGUUCCAGGAUCCGGGACCCAGCGCUCAGCCCUGUGCCUGCAAAAGUUACCUUAGUGCUAACAGCCAGCUUCAGACUUUGUAAAAAUGACUGGCUGCCUCUCGUGGACUGACAUUUGUUGCACUGCAUUUAGGACAGUAUGCCCCUGGGGAUUGAUACCCCUUUGCUUCCAUCUUGCUGGAGAGUUUUAGUAUCUACAAUUGCAGGCUUUUAAAAAUGUAAGCCCUGGAAGGUAUUUCCUGCUCCAUUUACAGCCGUUGUUUUCUGUAACUUGAGAGAAAACUCAAAUGCUGCUAUCUCAGUGACACCAACUACACAUCCGCAGCCAGAGUCAUCAGGAUUUGGAAACCAUUUUCCCAAAUCCAAGCUCCAACCCGCUGGGGUCUGUCACACGGAAGACACCUGAUGAGAGUUGCAGUGAUGACUGACCGUGGCAGUGUUUCUGUAGCUCAGAAGAGGGAAAUCGUACUUCAGGUGGAAACGGGAAAGGAGAUCAGCAAAGACUUUCAGGAAAAGAGGGACUUUAUUAUUCUUACUUCAAGACCAGUAUUGAAGCACCUUCAUUUUUGGAUGGCCUAUGGAUGAUUAUGCGUGACAGACUGAUUGAAUAUUUCCUUGUAAUUAAUACAGUGAAAUGAUUCCAUCUUUAUCCAGAGAAACCUGAGGUCACAAAGAACCAACACAAAAUUCUGAGCGGGACAGGUGACUAUGAAGAGAAAUUUUACCUGAGCAGUCAAUCAGGUAGAAUAGAUUUUGCCAAAUGCCACAUAAGCCAGCAGGAAGAUUAAACUAGAAAAUUUUAAUGAGCUAGUAAAGGCUCAGUGUGAGCUAAUGGAAUAUGCAAAGGCCCUGUUAUCCCAGGCUUUCUUGGGGGAAGAGGUGCAAUUCUCGAGAACGGUUUCCCUGUGUGCUGGUGAGGGGAAGAAACAGCACUGUCCACACCCCAUCAAACCCAUGUCCACAAAUUUUAAAAACCCAUAAUCUGUGGGGAAAAAGUAUCAAAGUCAUAGUUUAAAGACACUGGUGAGUACUCAGUCCAGCUAGUAGUAGAAUACAGCGAGAAAAAUAAUAAAUUUUAAAAGCAGCUGCAUCCCUAGAAGAGGGGUAGGGCCGCCUGUGAGGUCACACCUGCAAGCUGCCCAAGAUGAAAUCCUCUCACCCCUGUCCCUAGUACUUCAUUAGUGAGCCAGGGAUAAAAAUAUCAUGAAAUAUUGCUGGGUGAGGUUUUGCUUUUUGGUGCCGGAGACACACUCUACCAAUGAGGUAUUCCUGGGUCCACAUUGGAUAACGUAUGAAGGACAGUUUCUUUCUAGGCAGAGGCAUAAGGGGGAAAACUCAAAACCAAGCUAAAGGCAAGGUACCAUGAAAAUAAAUUCAAAUCCCUGGUAUCCAUUGCAACAGCAAACUCCGGUUUGCAAAUCAUAGGAACAACAGACUUCAAACCCACUUAGCUAAUGGAAAGGACAAUCCUGGAUAGUGAGACCAGGAUCAAGGUCCUGGCAGGGUGGGUUGUCUGGUGAAGGUGCCAUCUGCAUUCAAGGUGGCACCUCAGUGUCAUCCACUGGGGACAAGGAGCACUGUCUUUGGGUGGCAGAAGGCAGAAGAGAAGUGACCUGUAACCUGCAUGAAACCUCUUUUGUAAGAGCCUUAACCCUUUCAAAAAGAAGAGACAUCAAUCUCCACCUCUUCCUGCCAUCUCACUGGCCUUAAAUUUCCACCUGAAUUUUACAAGAGAACCAUCAGGCCUUUGCAUUGCCCACUGGUGUUUGUGCAUCAUCAGGCUCUUGAACUUCAAAUCUGAGAAAAUGAGCUGGAAAGAGAAGCCCAGGGAAUUUGUAACCCACGUUUUUUGUUCCACAUUUUCUUUCUCCUCUCCAAUUUCCAAGAGUUUCCUUAUGCUUGAUUUUAUAUAAUACUAGAGUUUUAAUUUGUACUUGGAAGGAAUAAUAGGAAAUGGUAUACAUAUUCCAUCUCCCCAAAAGCAAAUAUUCACGUUAAUUAUUUAUACAUUUUUUUCAUUUUUCUUCAGUUCAAAAUAUUUUCUAAUUUCCCCUGUAAUUUUUCUUUUCUUUUUUUGUGGACAGUAGUCUUCAUUGACACACAUAUAUAUAUAUGAACUAGUAGUGCCCAGUUUCUAUCUCUUUCACAUCUCUUUCUAUCUCUUUCUUUCUUUCACAUCUUUCCUUUUGUAAGUGGAUGGAAUUAUUUAACACCAGCUUGAUGGAGGACAAUUAGCCCAUUACAUACACUAAACAUUUAGAUCAAGUCAUUGGGUAGUGUGAAAAACUCUGUAAAGAUAGGAAGCCCGCACACUCAAUUCAAACUUGAAUAUGUUUUUGAAUAUUUUUUCCUGUCUUUAAAUAACAUGUACUUAAUUGUGAAGCAGCUAUUUGUUUUUUAAUCAGCACAUUUAGGGAUCCAUUAUAGGACUGCUUAGAUAGUUCAGGUGAAAUGGUUAUAGAAAUGGAGGCAGUGUCAUCUCAGAAAAGUCAUUUAUAUAUCAAAAUCUAUUUUGAUAUCUGAAAGUUUACAAAAAGGCUGAAUUCUUCAUGCUAAUUUUGCUUUCUAUAACUCAAGCACUCUUUUCUUGGUUAUUCAUGAAUGUAAAGGUGCUUAAUGCUAAACAUUUCUUCUGAGCUUGGAUUUGGAUUAAGAAUCUGAUACCAAAGAAACCAGCAUGGUCUUUCUACAUUUUCACUAAGGUUAGAAUCCUAUAGACUCAUUCACCAACCAUCUUCCUUUUAAAAAUUUUUUCUUGGCACUCAGUUAAGACUGCUGAAGCCAGAUUAUUUGGGGAUGGAGAAGUGAUGAACAGAGUUCAGUUGAUUUGGUGUAGCAAUAAAGGCUCAGUUAUCAUUUCAGUAAAGUGAAGUAUAGAUGACAAAAGCUAUGUUCCUCAUUCCUGGUUCAAUUUUCAUUACACUAUUUUCUCUAAAAAUCAUUUUGGGUAAAAAUAUUUGCCUUGUAAUGCCUACAAAAAAGACAGAUCAUUACAUGAUACUAAUAUUUAUUUGUAAAUACUAAUGAGAUUAUUUUACAGAAUUGACAACUGUUUCUGGAUAAAGUUUUUAAAAAUCCAGACUGGUUUAUAAUAACAUUGAACUCUGGGAAUAUAAACUAAAUCUAUAGUUCUUUCAUAUUUUUAUUGACUCACUUGGGUGACCUUGAUAAAAUCUAGAAAUAACAUUGACAGAGGAUGCUUAAUGGACAAUUGGACUUUUUGCUUGUUUGUUUAUAACAUCAAGGAAUGGAGAAAAUACUUAGGAAAAUGAGAGAGUUGGUAAUGACCCAGUCAGGUAGAAGUUAUUGCCUUUUCUGAGGGAUGAAAGUGUCAUCUUGAUAGGGAGAUAGAGGUAUUCCUAAGUUCCCAGUAAGUGACAGUUUAGAAUUUGGCACUUGAUUGUAGCACUGGCCCAGUGGACAUGGGCCUUAGCCUCAUAGAGUGCAUACUAUGAGAAGGCUCUUAGCAGUUACAGCUGUGAUGGACAUGACCAGUUGGAAAAGAAGGUUGUCAAGAGAAGAAGUAUUUCAAGAGUAUGGAGCAGCACAUUCAGAAGUCCUGCAGCAAGGGGGCCCUGGGAGAAAACUGGAUUCCUGAAACAGAGGGAGGGAAGGGAAGUGGUGUGACAUUGUCCUGGGGGUGCCAGACAGGGGCCUGUCAUGCUGGGCCAUGUGGUGGGGAAGGCUUUUGUACUUUAUUCUCUGAGGAACUUUAACAGAUUUUUACCUUGAGCAUUAUUCUGGUGGUGGUAUGGGAAGGGUACCAUUGGGCUCCAUGAGGGCCAGAGACUACUGUGCUCUCAGCACAUGAUUUCUGAAAAGAGAGAGCUGUGAAAUGCCAGGCCUUAGGAAGCACCUUGGAAGUAGAAUCAACAAGAUUUGGUAACUGAUGGGAGGGAGGGACCAGAAGGAAGAGUCCUGUAAUUCUUGGUUUCAAACUUGAAUAAUUGAGUCCCUUGAACAGUAGGAAACAUGACAAGUACAUGAAUUGCUGUGUUUAGAUAGAGGUGUCAGAGAGAGAUGUCACAUGGCUACCAGGAUAAAUAACUUUAGGAAUAAGAAGAAUGUUUGGGUCUGAGUAUAGACUUGGACCAACUCAUCUCUAUGUAGAUGAUCCGUGGAGCUAAGGAAGUGGAAGAAUUUUCUUAAGGAGAAUAUGCAGACUGAGACAGGAAGAGGGCAGGUGACAGAGGCCAAGGAGAUCCAGUGCUGAAGGAGGAGUGAGUAAACAGAGUGGUUAUAGGACAGACUUGAAGGAGUGGCCAGGGAGGUGGGAGGGUCACAAGGAUGACCUGCACAUCUUAGCUCCAACCAGUUAGAAAUGAGGAACUUUGGCAGGUUACUUAAAUUUUCUAUGAUUUAUUUUCUCAACCAUAAAAAAGUUUUAUGUCAAUUAAUCUCCUCCAUUUUGCCUGAGCAUUAUGAGAAAUGAUGACUAUAAAACAAAUAAGUGCUCUACACACAAUCUUAUAUGUAGGAUAUGUAUUAAGAUUCUAGCUGUCCGUAAUAAUGGAUCAGAUAGCUCAAUCAUCUCAUGCAGACUAAAGCUGCUUCUUGAGGUCAGAAUCUGUAUCUUACUCAUCUCAGAGCCUAGAAAAGAUAAAAACAAUGCAAAGGCUUUCUCUCACCAACUUUUUCUCACCAACUGGCUCUACAGAUAGUUCCAGACACGGAGCAAUGGCAGCAACACCUUCGUUAAUGUGAAACCCCAACAAUUAUAUCUCAGCAUAAGAAUACUGCAUUAGGAGAAAGUAUAAAUGUAACCAAAUAAUGCAUUCUAGGGGCUGGAGAUGUGGCUCUGUGGUAAGAGCCCUUACCUAGCAUGCACAGGGCCCUGGGUUUGAUCCACAGCAACACACUUAACCACACACACACACACACACACACACACACCCUCACACCUUAUAUAUGGGUAAAAAUUAUUGAAACUAUUAAAGGGAGCAUCAGUCUGAAAGCAGAUGCUUUUGGCAAAUUCAUGAGCUCUUGAGUAAGAAGUACCAGGAUUAUUGUGCCCUUUUCCUUUACAGUCGUUUGUUCACUAAAUAGAGAAUAAUUUGUCUUUUCAAGAAUUGGGAGUCCCUGCCUGUUCUGUGAGUGUGAUUUUUAUCUUAAAUGGACUCAUGAUAGGAUAUGCUGCAUACCUGAGUUAAGACACUGAACUAAAAGAUCAGACUGAGCUUAUAAGGACUUGUUGAUAACUGUUGAUUAUAUGAAAAGGAGAAUAAAUGAGAUUAGUUGACACUGAACUGAAAGAUCAGACUGAGCUUAUAAGGACUUGUUGAUAACUAUUGAUUACAUGAAAAGGAGAAAUAAUGAGAUUAGUUGAUUAAUAGUAGGAGCAUUUGUAGAUUUAUAUGAUUUUUCAGUGUGAUGCAACCAAAAACUAGGAAUGUCACUGGAAGAAUACCUUAAGUAAGGCCUCCUUUUGAUCUUCAUGGGAAUAUUUUUAAACUAAUCUUUCUCAGUAAAAGUUUUAAUGAAAAUACUCAUCUUCCUAUGUAAAGUUAUUGCAGCAUUAUAGGGAUCUCUCACAUGCAUUAUUUCAUUUAUUCUGAUGAAUGUGGGGUUAAGAAAGCUACAAAACAACUAUAUAUCACAUGUAGCAGACAUUUAUCUUUGUUAUCCUUUCUUGAUAACAGUACCACAACUUUGGAGAAAGUGUGCCCAAUCCCAGAGGAUAAGUUGAAGUCAAUUGUGAGAAUCGUGUCCUUUGCUCCCAGUCUCUUUUGCUCUUUGGGAGAACCACAGAAGCUACUUUUUGCCAGUGACAAAUAAGUGACCUAGGAAAAUAUUUGGCUUUCUCACCAAAGGAUAGAUUCAGCUGUCCCUUCUCUAUUCCUUCCUGCUUCUAGUUGGACAUGGUGCCUGGAGCCACAGCAGUCCUCUUGUGGCCAUGAGGGAAAGUCCAUCAAAAUAGCAGACGUAUCUAGCCUAACAUACUCAUGCUGCUGAACCAGUACCAAUAGACAGCUAUCUUUUAUUUUUUGUUGAAUGAUGUAAUAAAUAUCCAUAUGGUCUAAGCCACCUUUGACAGAAUUUUUUUGUUUCUCUCAAUGAAAUAUAUUCCUAAAUCUCCAGCUUUCUUUACAAUUUUAUUGAUGAAAUUCAAAACAUUUAAACUUAAAAAUCUGAUUUAAUUGUCCAACAAAUAUUUACUAAAUUUUCAUAGUGCUUAAAUCAAUAUAGAGGUUGAUAUUUAUACACACAUCUUGGUUCAGGGAGUUUUUAGCAUAAAAGGACAUGCAUACAAUCAGUGAAAUCUAGUGACAUAUUUAAUAUUGUAUCCAGGACCCUCUCCAGUACAGUAGGGUAAAAACAAAGUAUAAGGCUUCAAAAACUUGACAAAAGAAGUGUAUUUUUUAAAAAAGGCAUUUUGGAUUGUUGUGUAUGUAGAAAUUAAAACAACAUAAUAAAGUAUUUGAAUCAAUUAGGCAAUUUAUGAUGGUUCCUGAACAUAAAACUUAGUACACAAAAUCACAAAUUCUAUACUCUAGAAUCAAGCAGAAAGUAUAAUUUUAAAAAGAUGCUAUUUAGAAUAGCAUUAAAUCCUGAGGUUCCUCAGGAUAAAUCUAGCAGAAGGUAUAUAUGACCUUUAUGGGAAAACUAUCUGAAGUUUGUGGUGGUGCAUGUAAGAAAAUCUAAAUAAAUGGAGAGAUAUACCAGGUUAAUGAGUCAGAAGGCUUACUAUUAAAAGAUGAAAGUUGUCCCAAAUUAAUUGAAAGACAAAAAUCUUCCAGUCAACAUUCUGUUAUGAUUUUGUUUAUCCCUGUGAGCUGAUUUCAGUUACUCAAAAAUGUGAAGGGCCAAAUAUAGGUAGAACAUGUUUGAAAAGAUAAAACUUCCUUUAUUGAUUAUUGCUGUACCAUAAUGCUAAUGUAAAUAAGACAGCUUGCUAGACAAAUUAUAGAGGGCAGAGGCAGAAGUACACAUUUAAAGACACUUGGUGUAUGAUGAGCAGAUACUGCAUACCAGUGGGUAAGGAGAGACUUUUCAACAACUAGUGUUGAACGUGCAUAUUUAUGGUUAUACUGCUAAUCUCAGGAUGAGGAAAACUGCUGUCUCUGGAGUGUCCAGUGGGGACUCAGAGUGUAAUCUUUUCUGUAUUUCAGUUACUUAUAUGGUGGCUAUGUGAAUGUUCACUUUAUAAUUGCACUAUAAACAAGAGAUUUUAUAUACUUUUCUAGAGGCCAUAUAGGAAGACUUUGGAAAGAUUGCUUUGAGUAGUUUUGUCAGUCUUCAUUGUUCUAUUUCAAAAAAUUGUACUAAUUUCUUUUUAGUGUGGAAAACAUUACACAGCUACAACUAAAAAUUUAAAAUCAGUGUUUUUCAUUAGGAGGGCCACCCAAGAGUGCAUGGCCUCUCUAAAUUGGUUACACAGUUCUGGAAUAUCAGAUCAUUACUAGUCUCCAGUCUUUAAGAAGGAUGUGUGUAUGUAAUCAAUAUGUCAUAAAAAUGUCACCAAUACUGUGAGGAGAUUGGAAAUGAACACAUAUGAGAAAGAAAAGAAACAGCAAUUUGGGACACUGUCUCUUUCAGUUCCUUGGGUGAUUAACCAUAAAAUGUUAGCAUGCACAUUUAACUUGAUUAAAUCUAAAAUGGAUCCGUAUCUUUUCCCUUCUGAUCAACACAAGGAAUCAUAGCAUGCUCUCUUGAAACAUCCUCUCACAUCUUACAUGUCAGUACCACAGUCAGUACUCCCUUUACUCCUCCACAGCAGCCAUAUCAUUAUCACCGUCUUUGGGGGCUGCCAGAUGUUUGUUUGUCCACAUGUUCACAGCUCCUGUGUGCACAGGCUGUCCUUGCUUCCCAGCCUUCCUUCUUUCUUUGUUUCUUUCUUUCUGAGGUGCAGCCUUUGAAUUUCCUUUCAUGAAAGUCUGUUUCCUUACAAUGAGCCCCUUCCCACUCACUAGCCUCUGCUUGUUGCUUUGCACUCCUUCCUUCCUUUCUUCAUUCACCCAACUAGUGCUGGUACUUACUGUCUUCCAAGUGUGAAGCUGGGGAUGCGGUGAAGCCUGAGACCCACAGAGAACCCUUCCCUGGAAUGCAGUGACCAGGGCAGCAGCAGGGAGAGACUCUGCCCCAAAGGGGAUGUGAGCCCCAUGUCCCCACACACAGCAAGACCAGGCAGCUAGGAAAUGGGUUGUCACUCUGCAAUGGUUGUUAGCUGCCCUCGUUCACUACUGCUUUGUUAAGACUCAACAAGAGACUAUGUACAGUCACUUCUGUUACUGGUAAACAAAACUGGUAGACUCUGCCUUUGAAAUUCCAUUUCAAAAGGCAAAAUUGCCUCUGUUAAUAUUAUUUAAAGAACAUGGUACAGACUGAAGUGCUAGUCUGUUCGUUAAAAGAAUUUUUUAUACUGGAGAUUGAAUCUAAGAUAAUUUGAAUUUUUGGUCCUCCUGCCUCAGCCUUUCAGAGAGCUGGAAAUAUAGUUGUGCACCACUGUGCCUGGCUUGUUAAAAAUUAUUUUAUGUUCACAAAUUAUGUUUUACUUUGAAAAUAUUUUAAAUGUAAAAAAUUAUAAAGUUCAGAUUAUUUGUACAACUUUGGAGCUUGUACUUUCCAGAUGAAAACAUGACUACCUGGGUACUUUUGAAAUUUUUACUAGCAUAAAUUUUUAUUAUUAUAUUUAAAGUACAGAAAGCUAAAUUCUGACAUAAUUUUUUGAAAAACUCACCUAUUUUAUAAGAAUUAUGAUUGCCUACUGGUUUUUAAAGUGGGAGUCAAUUAGGAGAUCUAAUUAUAAUACUGUGCUAUUUUUUAAUCAUGGAGACUUUUUUUUCUAGAAAAUAAUUUUUAAGAAAUAGAGGGGCUAUAUGAGAACAAGGAAAUAUGAUUACUAAAACUGCAUAUUAUUUGUGGAUUGGAAUAUUUGAGAAAACCUCAUGUUGUAGGUUGGUAUUUUAAUUGUGUUGAUCUAAUUUUAAAUCAUUAGAGUCUAAAAUAUACAAAAUAUCGUACUUGGAUUUUAGGGAGUACUUAGGUAUAUGUAGUUCUGUAGAACAAUGGAAAGACUGUACUUCAGGAGGGAGAUAGCUUACAUUAUUUCAUUUACUCCUAACAAAUGGUUCCAACAUGAUUGCUGUCCUCACAAUACACAUUGUGACACAAGUUUAUAGAAGUUAGGUUACUAACUUUAGAUUCCACACUCCACCUGAUGAAGCUGAGGCCCCAACCCACCAUACAGGGGAUUGAACUCAGAGCCUUUGCACUGAACAGUACAUCCCAAGGCUGGGCCAAAACUUGUAAUCCUUUGGCCUCCGCCACCCAGGGGGCUGAGAUUACUGCAGCAUGCCACCAUGCUGUCCACUUUUCUCUUGCAAAAAGAAAAAAAAGAGGGGCUGGGGAUUUAGCUCAGUGGUUCCACCGCCUGCCUCAU